GUGCUCACUUCGGCAGCACAUAUACUAAAAGUUGGAACGAUACAGAGAAGAUUAGGAUGGCCCUGAGCCAGGGUGACGCGAAAAUUCAUGAAGUGUCCAUAUUUUUG